UAAGCUGAAAGGGACCCUUAAGAUCACAGAGUCCAACCAUCAACCUUAUACUGCCAAAGCCAUCACCAAACCCUGUCCCUCAGCACCAUGUCUAUCCAUCUUUUAAACACCUCCAGGGAUGGUGAUUCAAUUACUUUGCUGGGCAGCCUGUUCCAGUGUUUGACAACAAAUAAUUUAUUUACUGCAACUUUCAUGUCUAAUAACUAUAAACACUUUCCUUGGUAAAAUGAAAAUGUGCUUUCACAAAUAUCAGAGGAAAUUAGCUGUGCAUUUGUCUAAAAUUGACUAUUUUACUUGAAGAUACAAAGUAGAUCUUAACUGAGCAUUUUGCCUUUCAGCACCAAGCUCCAGCCUUAGGACACCUGGACUCUAGCAGCUGGUUUCUUUUGUAACUGCCUCCAGCCACACCUUUUGAAAGCACGCUCUUUUUUCUGCCUGCUACAGAAAAACCACAGCACAUUUCUGCAAGAAAUCAAAGGUCUCAAGGAGAGGACUGGCAAACAGCUGCCCUAUCAAGCCAGAGGCCCACACGAGCAAAGCAGAAGGAGGGAGGAGAUGAAGGACAGAGCAUCAGAGGGCAUCAGGAGCAGGAAGUGAAAGCCCUGAAGACAUGGUGGCCGUGAGCCCUUGCUUCCGUUCUCUCCCAUUCCACCUCCACUGCAAAACUGAGAAAUCUGGAAUCAGCUCAGCUCUGUGGCUGUACCUGGAAGUUCAAGUUAGUCUCCAGAAGACGAAACAGAAGAAGAGAAAGAGUGCAAAGCUUCAACAGAUAUUACUGUCCUGCAGUUGUAAGUUAGGGCUGCCCUUUUCAAGGGCAGGAAAAGUACUGCUUCUUGUGCAAGAGCCAGCAUCCCAGGAAGAGCUCCGUCUGAGCCAAAUCAUCACUUGGGUUUGUUACUUACCCUGUGCAUGGUAACCUCUGGCUUAAAACCAAGUUUGCGGCACUUCACUGUAGAAGUGAUGAUGGGCUAAAUUGCUUCCUGAGUGGCACCCACAAAUAAAUAUUAGAGCUGAUCAAACA
rnacentral:lncRNA from 1 species